rnacentral:rRNA from 1 species
GACGAACGCUGGCGGCGUGCCUAAUACAUGCAAGUAGAACGCUGAAGAGAGGAGCUUGCUCUUCUUGGAUGAGUUGCGAACGGGUGAGUAACGCGUAGGUAACCUGCCUUGUAGCGGGGGAUAACUAUUGGAAACGAUAGCUAAUACCGCAUAACAAUGGAUGACACAUGUCAUUUAUUUGAAAGGGGCAAUUGCUCCACUACAAGAUGGACCUGCGUUGUAUUAGCUAGUAGGUGAGGUAAUGGCUCACCUAGGCGACGAUACAUAGCCGACCUGAGAGGGUGAUCGGCCACACUGGGACUGAGACACGGCCCAGACUCCUACGGGAGGCAGCAGUAGGGAAUCUUCGGCAAUGGGGGCAACCCUGACCGAGCAACGCCGCGUGAGUGAAGAAGGUUUUCGGAUCGUAAAGCUCUGUUGUAAGUCAAGAACGGGUGUGAGAGUGGAAAGUUCACACUGUGACGGUAGCUUACCAGAAAGGGACGGCUAACUGCGUG